UUAAUAAAUGAGCAAGUGAUUUUUCUCUAGCGGAGAAAGACAGGGGAAGUUCGGUGAAAAUCCGACGCGGUCCCGCCACUGUAAGGGAGAGUUUCUGCCACAUUCACUGAGGGAACUUGGGAAGGAGGCAGUAAAUGAAGACCCCGAGCCAGAAGACCUGAUUGCUUAUGCUUUACUCA
rnacentral:ncRNA from 2 species